rnacentral:rRNA from 1 species
GACGAACGCUGGCGGCGUGCUUAACACAUGCAAGUCGAACGGAAAGGCCCUGCUCUUGUGGGGUGCUCGAGUGGCGAACGGGUGAGUAACACGUGAGUAACCUGCCCUUGACUUUGGGAUAACUUCAGGAAACUGGGGCUAAUACCGGAUAGGAGCUCCUGCUGCAUGGUGGGGGUUGGAAAGUUUCGGCGGUUGGGGAUGGACUCGCGGCUUAUCAGCUUGUUGGGGGGGUAGUGGCUUACCAAGCCUUUGACGGGUAGCCGGCCUGAGAGGGUGACCGGCCACAUUGGGACUGAGAUACGGCCCAGACUCCUACGGGAGGCAGCAGUGGGGAAUAUUGCACAAUGGGCGGAAGCCUGAUGCAGCAACGCCGCGUGCGGGAUGACGGCCUUCGGGUUGUAAACCGCUUUCGCCUGUGACGAAGCGUGAGUGACGGUAAUGGGUAAAGAAGCACCGGCUAACUACGUG